rnacentral:lncRNA from 1 species
GAAGAAGCCUCCUGACUAUGAGUCUCAUUAGGAGACUUUCCUUCAGGAAAAAGCGUCCCCCAAGAGAGUCGGCUGCAUCAGAUAGAGAGCGCAGCGGUCUCGAGCGUCAUGACUGCGGCAGUGUGAGCAGUUUGGAAAGUAAUGGUAGUCUGCCCAGCGUCACCAACCAUUGUCGCUUCUCAGAGCGCCGU